ACAUACUUCCUUUUUUUCCAGAGAGAAAGAAGAAGACAAGGAGAUGGCUGAAUUUCUACGUACUAAGUUAAAACCCUUAGACAAAGCAACACAGUCCCUUACCAGCAGCCCAACAGAAAAGAAGGCAGAACCUCCUCCAAGCAAGCCCGCCAUUGCCAAGGCAGGAUUGGCCAUCAUUAAAGAUUGCUGUGGAGCCACACAAUGCAGCAUCAUGUAGCUCUGGGCUCUCUACCGUGUUUGUUGUCUUUUCAGAUGUUUUCAUUGAAGGAAACUGUAGGGUAGAGGCAUUUAACAGCAUCCCACUAAAUGAAUGAAGAUCAACUGUGGUACAGCUGUAAUACGUGGAAUGUACAAUGGCAGGUUCUUCACUGUUGCAUGGAUCACUCAACACGCAUGCCUAAAAAAGCAAGAAAUCCAUAUAGUGGCUGUCCAGUGACCAGAAGAGAUCUGUAAUAGUGUUAACAAAGAUAUCCCUGUGAUAAAAGUGAAAGAAGUUUCAUCAAGUAAUGUGUAAAAAAGCAAUUUUAGUAGGUCACUUCAUAAGAAUUUGUUGUAUACGUUUUCCCUCUCACAAACAACACUCAAACAUUUGCUGGAAUAUUCUAUUUUGGCUACUUUUUAAAAUAAGAGCCACAAAUAGCACUGCAGUAUGUAGGACAACCGAUAGAUUAAAUUAAACAAUUUUAGGGUAACUGAUGUUACAUGCAAAAUAAGCAGCACACUACUUGUAAGUUAACUACUUCGCUGUGAAGUUUCACUUGGAAUUGUUUCUCAAAACUAAAUGUCAGUAACAAGGAUGCUGCAAGUAGAUAUAGACCUUAUACCCUCUGAUUUCUGAGUUACUCAAAAUAUGCUUUCACCGGGGAAAAUAAGUCUUGGUAAAGCUCUAGAAAGCACAGCUACAGUGAUUGGUAAGUAAAGGAUUAUUCCAGCUGUCUUAUUUCUCUCAUAGCUCUCCUCCUCACAUAGAGUCAGAGGGGUAAUUGCAAAAUUUUUUGCCUACUAAAUUUGUAUGCAUUAUGAGAUUACCUGCCAGUGGUGGGCUGCUGGGAGAAGAGCUGAACACAUCAACACAGAAACUAAUAGCUUAAAACCAACUAUUAAUUGCAUAAUUAAUGACCAUGAGAAAUAAAAGCUAUCAAGCAUGGGGAGACAUUAGCUACCCAAUACAAAUUGGCCACAAGACAAAUAGAAAAAUACAGCAGAUACUUGUGGUAUGAAGAUGAUCAUAUUCUACACAAUAGGUUUGAAAUUAAGGGCAAUACGGAAAGAUUUGUGUGUUUCUCCAUUUAAUGCAUUUCUGGUCUCUAUGCAGAUUAAAACUUGUAGAAUUUAAUAUUAGCUGUCAGUAGCUGGUAUGUGUGUGACUACUCCAUAUAAGUGUAUUGUGAUAGGUGUAAAUAGUAAAAUAAAUGUACAUGAUAAGAUGUGAUAACAAUCUCAGGCUUAGAAUUAACAAACUGAUAGCAAAAAGUCCUUCAAGUAAGAAAGUUUUGAAGAGUAACUUCAACUUUGCAAAACCAGCCAAGUUAAAUGUGCACUUGUAUACAAAAGAACCACAGUUACGCAUAAGGGGGAAAAAUACCAACAGCAGAGCUACCCAAAAAGAAUAGACAUGUUUUUAGAGAAAGUAUCUUAGCAAGUUUUGAGGAGAAACACCAUCAAGAGUAAAUCUAAAUGUUCUUGUACAAAUUAAAAACAACUCUCUAGAAUUGGACUGGUUCAAUGAAGAACAUUCACAUUUCCAGGAUCACUGCAGACUUACUUGUGACACAGGACUGGCAGCGAUAAGAUCCUUAAGAUUUAAGGGUUGAGGAAGAAAUAACACCAAAGGUUUCCACUAAGACAUGAAGCACAUUAAAUACUUAGUUCAAAGAUGUGGAAAGAAAACAUAUCGAAGGCUGAAUAGCCAAAUACAGUUGGACACCCUUGCUGAUACACAACAUAUAAGGCUCUGUAGCUGUUAACAGCUACUCUGGUAUGAGUUGGAGGCUGUAUAGUGCCUGUGUACUUAUGGGAGUUCUGGUGGGACUGCUUUGCCUAUAGGGGAAAAUACACAUGGGAGGGCAAGGAAUGACCACUGACUUCUGGUCAGUUCAGCAGAAUUUGCUGGUACCCUGUUAAGAUACUGAUAAUUCCUGAUGUCUUAAGGUAUAGAUGUGUUACAUCUAUACAAAGUCAAAGGGAAGUUAAAAAAAUAAUCACAACUUGCAGUGAAGCCUUAGAAGGCUUCUGUUACAAUCAAGUAUCACAAAUGCCAGUAAGUGAAGGGAUUCACAUACAGGUAUCAGAAGGCAAGAGGUGACUUAGAGUUUAAACCAGGCUGUGCUGAUGACCAGGAUACAUCUUAUGUGCCACACAGCUGCCUACCACCACUCUCUUAGAAAGAAAAAGCAAUCAGCAAAACAUAGGUAUGUAUUUAAAAUUUCACUGACAUAAAAUGAAGCUACACAGCACUGGGAUUCAGCAGGCAUGACUACAAAGCUCUAAUUAAAAUGAAGGAAAAGCCCAACAAAUGUGAACAUGAUAUGCCCUGAGGGACUUGAUAAACAGCAGUAUUAGUGAAAGUAAGCUUUACUUCCAGAAGCAGUACGUUGGCUGAAAGGUUUUCCUUAUGUGGCUCCUUUGGAUGGGGAGUUUGCAAUGCUGUUCCACAAUAAAGUUGUUUUCUUACUUAAAAAAAAAAA